rnacentral:tRNA from 1 species
GCCGAGAUAGCUCAGAUGGUAGAGCGACGCACUCGUAAUGCGUAGGUCGUGGGUUCGAUUCCCAUUCUCGGCU